GACAUGGCUCAGGAUGAACGCUAGCUACAGGCUUAACACAUGCAAGUCGAGGGGCAGCAUUUUAGUUUGCUUGCAAACUAAAGAUGGCGACCGGCGCACGGGUGAGUAACACGUAUCCAACCUGCCGAUAACUCGGGGAUAGCCUUUCGAAAGAAAGAUUAAUAUCCGAUAGUAUAUUUUCUCCGCAUGGUGAGAAUAUUAAAGAAUUUCGGUUAUCGAUGGGGAUGCGUUCCAUUAGUUUGUUGGCGGGG
rnacentral:rRNA from 1 species